rnacentral:rRNA from 1 species
AACGAACGCUGGCGGUGCGUCUUAAGCAUGCAAGUCGAACGGUAACGGGCCUUCGGGUGCCGUCGAGUGGCGAACGGGUGAGUAACACGUAGGUGAUCUGCCUUUGGGUUGGGGAUAGCCUGUGGAAACACAGGGUAAUACCGAAUGAUGUCGUAGUACUGUGGUGCAACGAUUAAAGGGGCUAUGGCCCCGCCUGAAGAUGAGCCUGCGGCUGAUUAGCUAGUUGGUGAGGUAAAGGCUCACCAAGGCGACGAUCAGUAACCGGCCUGAGAGGGUGGCCGGUCACACUGGGACUGAGAUACGGCCCAGACUCCUACGGGAGGCAGCAGCUAAGAAUCUUCCGCAAUGGACGAAAGUCUGACGGAGCGACACCGCGUGAGUGAUGAAGGCGGAAACGUUGUAAAGCUCUUUUAUGGAUGAGGAAUAAGUCUGGGAGGGAAUGCCCGGAUGAUGACGGUAGUCCAUGAAUAAGCCCCGGCUAAUUACGUGCCAGCCGCCGCGGUAA